AAGAAUCUGCCACCGGGUAGAAAUGCAAAAAGCAUUUGCGCACAUCGUUAGGUCUUGGAAGAUGUGCUUGCAAAUGCUUUCUUUUUUU
rnacentral:ncRNA from 1 species